rnacentral:rRNA from 1 species
UACGGAGGGUGCGAGCGUUGUCCGGAAUCAUUGGGCGUAAAGGGCGCGUAGGUGGCCCGGUCAGUCUUUGGUGAAAGCGCGGGGCUCAACCCUGCGUCGGCCAGGGAUACUGCCGCGGCUCGAGCACUGUAGAGGCAGGCGGAAUUCCGGGUGUAGCGGUGGAAUGCGUAGAGAUCCGGAAGAACACCAGUGGCGAAGGCGACUCGCUGGACAAGUAUUGACGCUGAGGUGCGAAAGCGUGGGGAGCAAACAGG